CUGCUGGCCACCCUGGGGCUCCUUGUUCAGGAUUCAUCAGGAGAAAUCAUCCUGACUCAGUCUCCUGGAUCUCAGUCUGUUGUUCCAGGACAGACUGUCUCUCUCAGAUGUAAAGCCAGUUCAAGUGUUAGCAAUGAGGUAGACUGGUACCUUCAGAAACCUGGAGAAGCUCCUAAACUCUUGAUUUAUCAUGCUACAAACCGUCAGUCUGGAGUUUCAGAUCGUUUCAGUGGGAGUCAGUCUGGAACUGACUUCACUUUGACCAUCAGAGGAGUCCAGACUGAAGAUGCAGGAGUUUAUUACUGUCAGCAGGAUUACAGCUUCCCGUUCACACAGUGAUACAACGUCGUACAGAAACCUCUCGCAGCUGGAGAGGAACUGAUCUGAAUCAAAAGCUGCACAGAAACCAUAACACUAGGUCAGGGGUGUCAAACUCAUUUUCACAGAGGGCCGCAUAAGCAAUACGGUCACCCUCAAAGGGCCAGUUGCAACUGUAAGACUGCAUAAACGUAACUAAUCCUUAACAUAUUGUUAAACAAUUGUCUCUUUAUUUCAUUAUGUAUUCAAGUUAAGGACAUUUAUCAGAUGUAAAAAU